ACUGUGUGACGAGCUCUUUAAGUGAUUCAAUAAGUUCUUUUCUAGGAAUUUUAGAGUAUGCCUCAUUUUCAUAUUCAGAGUCUAGUUCAGGUUUAGAAUCUUAAGCCACCGUAGCUACUAACCCCACAACCACAUUUACUUCAUCCUCAACAUCAUCCUUAUCAGACCCUGACUCAUUCUCUAAAUCUUCCCAGGUGGCCAUCAGACUCUCUGCUUGAUCUGUCUUCUGAACUUGUUAGAUUUUUUAAAAGAGAGUAGAGGAGACUAUGAAAAGUUGUUAAAACAAGUGUCGAAUAGAACAGUAAAGGACUUGGGACAUGCCAAGUCUUCCAAAGACAUUCUGGUGAUGCAAAAAGUUGGCCAAAAUAUAUUGCCUACAAGAGAAAACUUUCUCGUAGCUCGUUUGAGAUCUUCAUGCAUGCACUGUCGUGAAGUGAUUGUGUCUGGGAAGCGAUGGUUUUGCACUGAAUGCGAGAAAUUUUAGUAUUGUGAAAGUUCUUACAAGCACACUUCAAAGAACGGCGAGGUGCAUACACUUUGUCAGGCUGCUGUUGAUGAUUUCCCCUCCGACACUAAACAUAAAGAUAUCGUCCUUGAGAGUGGAUUGUUUGAAAAUAGAGACAACUUUUUGAUAUUCUGCCAGAAGUCUCAGUUUCAGUUUGACACACUCCGUCGUGCCAAGUAUUCCUCCAUGAUGAACCUCAACCAUCUACUCCUCUGUGCCAGAAGUCUCAGUUUCAGUUUCAAAAUGAACACCAAUUGACUCAAAAGUGUUCAACACCAGUAUGUCAAUCUCAGAAUCAGGAGUCAAAUAAGGAAAUGAUGGUGAAACUAAUGAACGUUUUGAAGCAUCUCAAUGAUCUCAUCCAAACUGUUCACAGAUCAAGAAGAUGUUCUCUCAUGCCAGUAAGUGCAAAAUUCGAGUGAAUGGGGCUGCCAGCAUUGUAAAAAGAUAUGGUUUAUACUAACUACGAACUCCAGGAAUUGCAAAGACUCGGAAUGUAGAAUACCGCGUUGCAGUGAUUUGAAGAAGUAUGUAGUAGAACGGAGAUCAAUGCAUUCUGAAUCUUGUCGUAGAGCUGAAGUUUUGGAAAGCGACGGAGCAGUCAUUGGUCAAUGAAUCGUUGAAGCUUAAGCAUAAACAGUUCGACAUAAGUUUUGUAAUUUUCAUCCUUCCUUUUCUGUAUAUAAAUUUGUUUAUGUAACAUAUAUAGGUUAGGAAUAGGCUCAUUAUUCAUACUCUUAAAAUGAGAGACUCAAUUUUGUGUUGUUGUGAAUAUUUAUUCAAUGGUAGAGAGUCUAAGCUCCAACUA